AUACGGAGGAUGCAAGCGUUAUCCGGAUUUAUUGGGUUUAAAGGGUGCGCAGGCGGCCAUUUAAGUCAGCGGUUAAAUCGUGGGGCUCAACCCCAUUCUGCCGUUGAUACUGGGUGGCUUGAUUGCGGUCGAGGUUGGCGGAAUUCGUUGUGUAGCGGUGAAAUGCAUAGAUAUGACGAAGAACACCGAUUGCGUAGGCAGCUGACCAGACCGCAAAUGACGCUCAUGCACGAAAGUGCGGGGAUCGAACAGGAUUAGAUACCCUGGUAGUCCGCACAGUAAACGAUGAAUACUUGUUUUCGGCGAUAUAAUGUCGGAGGCAAAGCGAAAGCGAUAAGUAUUCCACCUGGGAAGUACGCCGGCAACGGUGAAACUUAAAGGAAUUGACGGGG
rnacentral:rRNA from 1 species